rnacentral:rRNA from 1 species
GAUGAACGCUGGCGGCGUGCCUAAUACAUGCAAGUCGAGCGAACAGACGAGGAGCUUGCUCCUCUGACGUUAGCGGCGGACGGGUGAGUAACACGUGGAUAACCUACCUAUAAGACUGGGAUAACUUCGGGAAACCGGAGCUAAUACCGGAUAAUAUAUUGAACCGCAUGGUUCAAUAGUGAAAGACGGUUUUGCUGUCACUUAUAGAUGGAUCCGCGCCGCAUUAGCUAGUUGGUAAGGUAACGGCUUACCAAGGCAACGAUGCGUAGCCGACCUGAGAGGGUGAUUCGCCACACCGGAACUGAGACACGGUCCAGACUCCUACGGGAGGCAGCAGUAGGGAAUCUUCCGCAAUGGGCGAAAGCCUGACGGAGCAACGCCGCGUGAGUGAUGAAGGUCUUCGGAUCGUAAAACUCUGUUAUUAGGGAAGAACAAAUGUGUAAGUAACUAUGCACGUCUUGACGGUACCUAAUCAGAAAGCCACGGCUAACUACGUG